rnacentral:lncRNA from 1 species
GUGAUUUUCUUGGAGUAUUUUGAAGGCAAUUUGAUUUAAGUUUGUUUUUUUUUUUUCAAUCAUAAUGAUUGAAAUGGAAGCUUUAUUUUUAAAUUUCUACCCCUGUUCGCCGUAUACCUCGAAACGAGUAUUUAUAAUUUUCAAUUUCAAAUGGCACGAAUAAAUUUCAUAUCUAUUACGAUUGCACGCUUCUCUAGUCUAAAUUUGUUAACUCGUAAAUAAUAACGGUAAAUCCAGUUGCCAAUUCACACCAAAAGAAAAAUAUCCUCGUUUCGAAUCCUAUUUGAAAAUGUUCGAGAACAGAGAGGCAAAAUCGUUUUUUGAUAUGAAAAAUUGAUAAGCGUUUAUAGUGAAAUUUCGAAAACAUUUUCAAUAUGGUAUGUAUAGAAUCUGCAUAUUAAAAGAUUCUAUAAUAAUAGGUGAAGACCGGCAAAAACCAAAAUCGAUUUUGGGUACUCAAAAUGUUCGUAGAUCGUGAUUAAAAAAAAAAAACAAAACAAAACAAAACACCAUGUAUAUUAUUAUUCUAUAGUUUCCUACAACUAAAUUGACUUAUAUUGUUAAUUAUUAUUACUCUAUAUUAUAAAUGUCUAGUCAUUAUACGUUUAAAAGAUCAUUUUAAAAUUAUUUUUAUCGGUUUCGAAUUAUAGAAGAGAUUGUGCCACAACCACAAAUCUCAUAAUAUUAUAAUGUAUGAAACAACUAGAUACCCACGACUCCCGUGAGUAAAUCUGAAGCUUUGCAACCAUUUAUACUAAAGGGCAUAUUGCAUUCAUUAAACUAUUAGUUUAUGUUAUGAAUUUAUCUGAUGAAUAUAUUAGUGUGAUAACACAAAAAAUAGUUAAUAUUAAUCGCAGAUUGUUUCUGUGUCGUCAAACAAUUCGAGACAUAAACAUAAACAUGGACCUGAAGUUAGGAAAAGCUAAACUCAUUUUUGGUGAAAAUGUUUUGAUAUAGAACCUAACAUAUAACAUUUAAUUUGUAUUUUAAUAUGUUGGCGGGGCGCGUCUCGAUCACUAAAAUUCCAAGAAAUAAAAACAAAAAUAUUUUUAAAAAUUGUCCAAUUUGUCAUAAACCAAUUGAAAUAAUUGAGUUUGGUCCUUCUUGAUCAAAUUACCAGAAAUAUUUUGUGAAUCAAUCAAUACAGUUGACCUUUUUAAUAUAUGACUGCUGACUUCAUUGCUCUUCUGGGACUAUAAUACAUUCGGAGGUAAUUUUGUUUUAUAUAAUAUAAACCACAAGAAAUGAUCGUCAAUAUUUAAAUAAAUAUCAGUUAAAUAUUAUUAUGUUACGGGUAAAUACGAAAAACCUGCACAUUCUAUAAGCCGGGUAAAUUCAAAAAUAACUAUAAUGAGUAACCCAAAAAAAAGAAGAAAAAACUUCAUAUUUAAAAAAAAAAAAUGUAUUCUACUCGAGUUGUUUCUGAAGAGAUUUAACAGUUUCAACAAUUAACACAGACAAUGUAAAUACGAAAAUUAAACAAGUCAUGGUCACGUUUAGUAUAACCGUACACAAACAUGUACGGUAGAAAAUAUAGUUUACUUAUUAUCUUUAUGUAAAACUAAAAGAAAACUUUUUAUUUAUUUUCCACUUGUUAAUUGAAUUGGCAGUUAUUCACGGUGUAUUCAAAAUUUCAGCACUUACCCGUAACAUAAUACACAAUACGUUAUUGCAGAUAUAUUUAAUAUAUUAUUAAUAACAUAGUAGUGUUAAGGAAUAUUUUUAAAAUAUUUUCUUUAAUCGAAUUUGAAGUGCUUAAAAUUGAUUUUUUUUUUUGUUUUUAUAUAACAUUUAAGAUUCAAUUAUUAUCGUAUGCAUUGUUAAUACAUUUAGAUAUUUUAUAAUUUUUUUUUUUGUCAAAUUUAGCUAUCCCAUUUUUGGUCGUAGAAUUUUAAAUAAUAUUUCUAUCGAUUGUUUUAAACGAUGUACGCAACAAUUUCCACAAUUUAACUAUUGACAUUUUUGAGUCGAUUAGAAUACAUUACAAAAUAUAAUACGCUCGUAAUUAAAAAAAAAAAAUGAACCUACAUUAAAAUCAACAAAACUACAUAGGUCCUAUAGAUUCCUACAUUUAAAACGAGAGACAAAUUUGUAUUGUUCGUAGGAAUAGAUACCAGUUAAAGUUCAAAAACUAUUCAUAAAUUAAUCCAUAAUUAAUUAACCAUAAAGUUUUAAAAAUUAUAAUUUCCAGACAUUUUCAAAAAUGCAUAUCAUAACUGUUCACACAAUAGUUUAUUUGUUUUAUAUUUUUAUUAUUUCUAAUAUUACAAAAUAUCGUUCGAAAUGAACAAACAGUUCAGAAAAUAAUAUUAUAAUAAACGCGUAAUUUUUGUUAUGUUUUAAAUUGAAAUUAAAUUAAUAACUAAAUUGAAAAUAAUAAGUCCAAAAACAAAAAACUGAUCAAUAAAAAAAAAAAAUGUACGGUAUUUUACUAUUAUGCAUAAUACCUAUACAAAUUUUGAACGUUAAUUUUGACACCACGCGUUUUCUCCGAGAAACUAUAAUCCAAAUAUAAUUUAUGUUUUUUCUAUUUGAUCUUGUAGACACAACAUAGCAAGAAAGUUUCUAUAAUAUAAUACUCGUCUAAUGAAAUUAACAUCACGCGCGCCAAUUUGAACCCCCGAAAUUUAAGUUAGCGUAUACGGGUAAAGUUUUCAAAUGUAUCUACACAUUUUUAGCUAGACAGUGCAUGCACUAUAAUUAUUACUUGAACUAUUACUUUCAACGCUGACGAAAGGUUCUAAACAAAAGUCAAAUUAAUUAAAUAAUGUAUAUUAUAACAAUUAUAUUAUUAUACGUCUUUACGUAAAAUGAGUAAAACUCGCUUAAUUUUAGUUUUACAGUAAAAGCGUCCAUUAUAAUAUUAAAAGAAGAAAAAAUUUCGUAGAGCAAUAUGCCAUAUUUUUAUAAAAAAAAUUAAUUUCUUGAAAAUUUACAAUAAUUUUAAAAACGUUGAAAUGAUCGUUGUUUCAAAACAACAUUUUUUCGAACCUUAGAUUGGUAUGGUAAUUUCAAUGGGCCUCCACUCGUCCCUAUCUACCAAAGCUACUUUUAAAAAGUUGUUUUCCCUAUUUCUACUAACAUCAGUUUUAUAAAAGGAGUUUUUAUUGAUCUUUCUCUUCCAGCUUUUUCCUCUUUUAUUAUCGUCACUAUUAACCAUUCAUUGUGUCCAAUACAUUUUUCUCCCUUUCCCUGAUCCCUUUUCAAAAUAUAUUUAAGUGUAUUAAAUGAACUUGAAAUAAUGGGAAAAGAAAAACGCAACGUCUCGCACUCCGAAAUGUUAUAAUUUUUAUAAUACGUGCUUUUACUCUAAAACCAAAAUUAAACUAAUUCUAUACUCAGUCUGCGUAAAAGUGUUUUUGCUGUGUCGCGAUACAUUUAGUAAUACGGAGACAACCACGUAUGCUGGUAUAGCAUCCUAUUAAAUUCACGACCGAUCAUUUUAAACACCGAAGAAUAAAACGACCCAUACUUUGAGGUUUCGGUAUUAUAUUAAUUUUGUAUUUUAAAACGAAAUAUGUUAAUAAUAUUAUGCUACUUAUAAUAAAUACAACCAAUCAUAUUAUAUUAUUGUAUAAUGGUACAUAUAGUAUACGAUACGAAUAUAUUAUUGUUAAAUAUUUUAUAGGCUAUACUCGUGUACAUUCGGUACAUAAAAAAAAAACCACCCCGCCAAAUGCGAUAUUAUAAUGUUCAUUAAUGUAUUACCUAUACCUACUUUACGCUGUAUUUUUGUGCGUCUUAAACAAACUAUAUCAAUACCUAUAAUAUUUGUCAUUUUUCUCCUCCUAUAUAUAUAUAUAUACUUUAAGGUAUUAAUAAUAUUAUCCAAAUACCAAUGUUGUUAUAAUUAUUAUUUUAGUUUACACCGAAACGCUUGUAACAAGUGUGUACUUGAAAAGUUACC